UACGUAGGCAGCGAGCGUUGUUCGGAAUUACUGGGCGUAAAGAGUGUGUAGGCGGUGUUCCCAGUCUGUUGUGAAAUCUCCCGGCUUAACUGGGAGGGUGCAGCGGAAACUAGAAUGCUAGAGGGUGGGAGAGGUAAGCGGAAUUCCUGGUGUAGCGGUGAAAUGCGUAGAUAUCAGGAGGAACACCUGUGGUGUAGACAGCACUCUGGGACGUGACUGACGCUGAGACGCGAAAGCGUGGGGAGCAAACAGG
rnacentral:rRNA from 1 species